rnacentral:ncRNA from 1 species
UAUGCCGUGGCGAUUUGUCACCCGAUUGCGGGCCACGUAAAAUAUUUCCGCUAAAGAGGUCGAGGACGC